UACGUAGGUGGCAAGCGUUGUCCGGAUUUAUUGGGUUUAAAGGGUGCGUAGGCGGUCCCAUAAGUCAGUGGUGAAAUACUCUAGCUUAACUAGAGGGGUGCCAUUGAUACUGUGGGACUUGAGUAGAGUUGAAGUGGGCGGAAUUGACGGUGUAGCGGUGAAAUGCUUAGAUAUCGUCAAGAACACCGAUAGUGAAGACAGCUCACUAAGCUCAAACUGACGCUGAGGCACGAAAGUGUGGGGAGCAAACAGG
rnacentral:rRNA from 1 species